AAAUGAGUUUGAUUAUGUCUUAGUUGUUGGCUGUUCUGAUUAAAUUAUAUGUAUAUAUAUUAAAUUAUUUUAUUUCAGUAAUUAGCAUUUUUAAUAAUUUUUAUUUUUAUUUAGUUAUUUCUUAAGAUUUGAUUAAUUUUGUGCCAGCAUUCGCGGUUAUACAUUUAAUUCAAGCUAAUUUUUAUGACUAUUAUGAUAAAUAUUAAUUCUGAUUAUUUCAAGUUCUAUAAUUUAGGUGGAAUUUAUUAUUUAUUUUUGUUUCUUUAGUUAUUUAUUUCAUAAAUUUUGAGGUUAAACUAGGAUUAGAUACCCUAUUAUUUCUUUAUUUAAUAAUUUAUUGUCUGAACAUUAACAGUUUAGGUUCUGUAAAAUUCGAAUAAUUUGGCGGCUCUCAAUUCUUAUUAGAGGAACCUGAUUUUUGAUCGAUAAACCACGAUAAUUAUCACUUUUAUUAUACUUGUAUACCUCUAUGUAUAAUAGAAUGUUUUUUUAGGAUAUUUUCUUUUUUAUUUUUUUAUUUUAUUUUAGGUCAAGGUGCAGUUUUUAGUAGUUAAAUUGGGUUACAAUUAUUUUAUUUUUGGUUAAUUGGCUUAAUGUUUAUUAUUAAACUGGAUUUAAAAGUAAUUUUGAUUAAUUAAUUAUUUUGAUUUUGUUUCUUGAGUGUGUACAUAUCGCCCGUCGCUCCUUAUAUGAGGAUAAGUCGUAACAAAGUAGGUGUAUCGGAAGAUGCCUCUGUAAA
rnacentral:ncRNA from 1 species